rnacentral:rRNA from 1 species
AACGAACGCUGGCGGCAGGCCUAACACAUGCAAGUCGAGCGGACAUCUUCGGAUGUUUGCGGCGGACGGGUGAGUAACGCGUGGGAACGUGCCCUUUGCUUCGGAAUAGCCUCGGGAAACUGGGAGUAAUACCGGAUGUACCCUUUGGGGGAAAGAUUUAUCGGCAAAGGAUCGGCCCGCGUUGGAUUAGGUAGUUGGUGGGGUAAUGGCCUACCAAGCCGACGAUCCAUAGCUGGUUUGAGAGGAUGAUCAGCCACACUGGGACUGAGACACGGCCCAGACUCCUACGGGAGGCAGCAGUGGGGAAUCUUAGACAAUGGGGGAAACCCUGAUCUAGCCAUGCCGCGUGAGCGAUGAAGGCCUUAGGGUUGUAAAGCUCUUUCACCGGGGAAGAUAAUGACGGUACCCGGAGAAGAAGCCCCGGCUAACUCCGUG